GUCAGUACAGACACACAACGAGUAGGGCACGUGUCAGUACAGACACACAACAAGUAGGUCUGGUGUCAGUACAGACACACAACAACUAGGUCUGGUGUCAGUACAGACACACAACAACUAGGUCACAUGUCAGUACAGACACACAACCAGUAGGUCACAUGUCAGUACAGACAUAGAACCAGAAGGUCACAUGUCAGUACAGACACACAACCAGUAGGUCACAUGUCAGUACAGACAUAGAACCAGAAGGUCACAUGUCAGUACAGACACACAACCAGUAGGUCACAUGUCAGUACAGACAUAGAACCAGAAGGUCACAUGUCAGUACAGACACACAACCAGUAGG
ensembl:lncRNA